rnacentral:rRNA from 1 species
UGUUAAUAGCAUAUUCAUUUGACGUUAGCUGCAGAAGAAGCACCGGCUAACUCCGUGCCAGCAGCCGCGGUAAUACGGAGGGUGCGAGCGUUAAUCGGAAUUACUAGGGCGUAAAGCGCAUGCAGGUCGGUUUGUUAAGUCAGAUGUGAAAGCCCGGGGCUCAACCUCGGAAAUUGCAUUUGAAACUGGCAAACUAGAGUACUGUAGAGGGGGUAGAAUUUCAGGUGUAGCGGUGAAAUGCGUAGAGAUCUGAAGGAAUACCGGUGGCGAAGGCGGCCCCCUGGACAGAUACUGACACUCAGAUGCGAAAGCGUGGGGAGCAAACAGGAUUAGAUACCCUGGUAG